rnacentral:rRNA from 14 species
GACGGCUGAAGCGGUGGUGGCGUCUGCGGAGGAGGCGGUGUUGGAUGAGGUGGUGUUGAUGGUAAAGGCACGCCUGGCGAAGGCUGUAGCGGGGGUG